rnacentral:rRNA from 1 species
UUGUUGGUAAGGUAAAAGCUUACCAAGGCUUCGAUCAGUAGCUGGUCUGAGAGGACGACCAGCCACACUGGGACUGAGACACGGCCCAGACUCCUACGGGAGGCAGCAGUGGGGAAUUUUGGACAAUGGGGGCAACCCUGAUCCAGCCAUGCCGCGUGAGUGAAGAAGGCCUUCGGGUUGUAAAGCUCUUUCAGCCGGAACGAAACGGUUACGGUUAACACCCGUGACUACUGACGGUACCGGAAGAAGAAGCACCGGCUAACUACGUGCCAGCAGCCGCGGUAAUACGUAGGGUGCGAGCGUUAAUCGGAAUUACUGGGCGUAAAGCGUGCGCAGGUGGUUUUGUAAGUCAGAUGUGAAAGCCCCGGGCUCAACCUGGGAACUGCGUUUGAAACUACAAGACUAGAGUGUGGCAGAGGGGGGUGGAAUUCCGUGUGUAGCAGUGAAAUGCGUAGAGAUGUGGAGGAACACCGAUGGCGAAGGCAGCCCCCUGGGUCAACACUGACGCUCAGGCACGAAAGCAUGGGGAGCAAACAGGAUUAGAUACCCUGGUAGUCCAUGCCCUAAACGAUGUCAACUAGUUGUCGGGCCUUUACGGGCUUGGUAACGUAGCUAACGCGUGAAGUUGACCGCCUGGGGAGUACGAUCGCAAGAUUAAAACUCAAAUGAAUUGACGGGGACCCGCACAAGCGGUGGAUUAUGUGGAUUAAUUCGAUGCAACGCGAAAAACCUUACCUACCCUUGACAUGUAUCGAAGCCCGCAGAAAAGCGGGGGUGCCCGAAAGGGAACGAUAACACAGGUGCUGCAUGGCUGUCGUCAGCUCGUGUCGUGAGAUGUUGGGUUAAGUCCCGCAACGAGCGCAACCCUUGUCAUUAAUUGCCAUCAUUUAGUUGGGCACUUUAAUGAGACUGCCGG